rnacentral:tRNA from 1 species
GGUGGCUCAGUGGUAGAGUGCUUGCUUUGCAUGCAAGAGGUCUGGGGUUCGAUUCCUCAGCACCA